UUUCUUAGCAACACAGAUGGGUAGACUAUAUAUUCCAGUGCUUUUGCACAAUGGAAGAAUAAACAACUCCCUGAAUGAGGGUGUGCUGCAAGUUGAUCUCUUCGCUUAACUUCUCCUAGAAAAAAAGAAAGAGAAGUGUCCUGCGGUACAGCAUUUGAAGUUUGUCAGGAAGUCCCUGUUUUUGCAAAGCGGAAUCACAGACUGAACAUCGGGAUGCUGAAGAGAAGGCAAUGCAGUAGAGACUCCACAACUGUAUCCAUGCUAAUGUAUUAACUUUCUGGUUCUCUGAGACUUGUACACCUGCAAACUCUACGGAAGAUACUAGCAGUCCUGAGCUGUGUCUGUGUUAUCCUGUCAGGUCAAGUAUGAGCUCUCUGAGAGUGCUGACCCACUGUAACAAAGCAGGUCUAUAUCCUUCAAGCACCACAAAAGCUGGCACAAAUUGCUCCCUUCAUCAAUAUUUUAGUGAAAUAUCUGUGGAAUUUUUUUAAUUAUUAUUAUUAUUUUUGUAAAUACCAGCAUGGAACAGAAAUGCACUACAUUCACUUUGGUUUUAUUAGAGAGUAUUUGAUUUCUUUCCCUUAAGCUCUAAUAUUCAAAAUAACAUGGAGGGCAGUGUUAUUAACUCUUAAAAUUACUUUCUAUAUCUGCCUACAUGCAUUGGUAAAAAUUACUUACUGACUGUAAGUGAUUAAUUCUUUUCUCUCUCCAGUCACUCAGACAUUUGGAGGUAAAACAAAUGGCAUGGCCCAUCAUACUCUUGAGAACUGGAGAGGCUGAGUACCGUCAUGAGCUUUGGAAACUGCCUGCCAUCUCUACCUGCAGAUCAAGUCAAGAAAGCUCUGGAACGGAGCUUGGAAAUACUGGACGGGAGAGCAAAGAGACCUCGGGGCAUUGCACCAGGAUGGUGGGAUGGAUUUCCACUCACAGGAUAAACAAAAGACCAGGGAAAGAGGUACCUCAGCUUCUGAUUUGGAGCGCUUUGUAGCUGUUAAAAUUCUGUCUUAUUUUGGAGGGAGAAGUAUGUAUGUUAUUAGCAACAAGAAAAAACAAAAACAUGGGGUAGGUAAGGAUUGGUUUAACUAGUGUUUGUUUGUUUUCCAGGUCAGAGUAUCUAUUUUGGGAACUAUGCCUAAUGGUAGUUACGAUUAAGGACAGGUAAAUAAUCUGUGUACUUCACUGCCUCACAUCAAUCCUGUAUUUUACCUCAUGCUUUAUUUGUUUCAUUUACAUUAUGACUCUAAAUGUUGAAGCACCACCAAGCUUUCCAUGCAUGAAAAUAGAAGUUGAGUACUUUUCCAGUUAAGUGUGUCUCAGACUAUUGAAACAGGAAUCAGUCACAAGCUUUGAUUUAAAAUAGAUCCUUCUGUAGACUUCUUGAGCAACACCAAGAGCUCAUCUUGAACAUGCUCUACCAAAGGAUGACUAUUUUAGAAGCUGUCUCCAGCAUAAUACAGAUAGCAGCAGCUUUUCAGAGAGUCAGUAUACUCUCAAUAUUUCAAAGAAAAAGGAAAUACUGUGUUUUAUAAACCAAGUGACUCUGAUGUAGAAACUGAAAUUGAUGGGUGUUUUUGGUCUCCUACAGACUGCUUUGCUUUUCCAUCUCUAAACUCAAUAAGCAGCUCCACAAUUAAUUUCAGUGAUUGUAUAAGCUGCUCUAUUUAGGAUGGGUGAUGAAGGAUUAGUUCCUGUCCUCUUCAAAAUGAAGAAAUGCUGGGAGUAUUCAUUUAAAGAGAUUAUUAUGGGAUUUCUGUUAGUGAUGUUAGUGCUUGUAUAAUUAAUAGCUGACAAUGGCAACAAAAUUCUUAAGUCUAAGGUGUGUUAUUCUUGGAUAACAUGAAAUCUUUUUAGCCUUUAGCUUACUGUAUUCAGUCCUUCAGACAAUUCCUUCCACAGAUUUAAGGCUGUCCUGUUACAGAGUAGAUCUAUGAGCUUAAUGGAUGUUGAAUAAUUAAUUGAUAGGUCUAGAAGAUAAUUGUGCUUUCUUCAAAUUAUUGCUGAUUUCUUUGAAUAAAGAUUUUUUCCUCAG
rnacentral:lncRNA from 1 species